rnacentral:lncRNA from 1 species
CUGCCGGGAGACGUAGUCUUGUAACGCUCUCUCGCCGGACAUUCCUAACGGUUAGCGCCCAGCCUGUGAAGAGUCGGGGGUCGGGGAGGGAGUCUCGCUAAGAAGGAGGUUUGCAGACCAUGGCAAAGGGUCUUGCUCUGUCACCUAGGCUGGAGUGCAGUUGUUCUAUCAUGACUCACUGCAGCCUCAAAUGCUUGGACUUGAGCAAUCCUUCAGGCUAAAAGGUUUAUGAAGACAUUUGUCUUGUCCGGCAUCAUAUCCUGGGACCCACAAAGUGACUGAAAUAUAUCUGGUGGUCAAUAUAUAUUUGCAUCUUUCAAUUUAGACCGGCCACACUUCAAGUGCUCAAUAGCCGCAUGUAGCUAGCGGCUACAAUAUUGAACAGUGCAGCUCUGGAAAUUUAAAAAGAGGUUCCAGUGGAAAUCAUAAUGGCAGUUCAGAGAAGGGAAAAUGCUCUACGACCUGGAACAGGAAAAGCUAUAUGGAGGAGUUGAGACUAGAGCCUGGUCAUGAAGGAUGCAGGAGGUUUUUACAUAUUUAGAAGAAGAGGAUGAUAACAAAGUGGUGAGACUGAGAACAGCAUUCAAAGAACAGUAAAGAAGACCGAGCUUAUGAGUGAGUGAAGCCCACUGGAGAGUGUUUGAAGAAAGAGGAAAUGCCACUAGAGCCUGUGAGGGGGGUGUAUUAUUGAAUUUGUGAUAAACAUCCUUGACCUAAUGAUAGGGGUAUAUCUGGUUAAAAGUCAGAAAAUCUGG